AUAGGAGGGGGUACCUCAAAGCUCUUUGUUUUAAUCUUUUUUGGAUAAGGUAAGUAUGAGAACCAUUAUCAAACCAGCACAGAAUUAAAAUUUUCAACUGAAUUAUCCACAGUGAUCUAAUCGUCAAAAUAAAACUUCCAAGAAUCAGAAAAUUACAUUAUCCAAGUGAUCAUUCACAUACAUAUUGAGUCAACUAACAUAGUUCUAUUAGUUCAUUAAUCUUUCAGAAGUUCAUGCAAGGGUGCCUAAAAGUUCUUGGAAAUCA
rnacentral:lncRNA from 1 species